UCUAUCUUAACUUUUUUACAUUAUACCGGUGAUAGAACAGUAUGUAUGCUCAAUCUUGAAUUAUUCUUAUGUGGUAUUAAUAGCGUAUAUGGUACUUCUUUCAUGCGAGGUUGAGUUGACAUGCAUACCUUUUACAACAUCGCCAUCAGGAACUCCUAUUUUCAUCUUUACUCAUGCGUCAACCAUGGAGCACACAAUGAGUUGUUGAACUAUUGAUCACGUGCUUCCUUCUCUAAUUUAGGCUGUAAGUUGCCUCUGAUCCCUGGUCUGUACUAUGAGUCUGUGCAUGAUUUAGUGAUGUGGUUUCUCCUUAUAUUUUUGGUAGGUUUGUGGUUGUUUCAAUCAAUUAGGAAUAAGUUUCUCUCAGGAGAUGAUGUAUCAGGUUUCAACCCCUGAUUGGGGAAGAGAUGCGAGAUCGCAUCGAACAUCGGUCAACAGGUUAAAGGAUCAAUCCCUUUGUGUUAUCGUCAGAAAUUAAGAUGAUCUAUAUCUCAUGAGAAAUUUCUUCGGUGUGAUGGUUUCAACUAUUUUAUACCUGGUUGGCUAGGUGAUUUUGUGACUGCUUGCCUCAAAUGAUCUCUCCCUACAUGAUAUUUAAUUUUCUCUUCAUGACUUAAUGUUUUCUAACUUAAAAUUAUUGGCGUGCAUGAUCAUUGGAUCCCAUUUUCUGAUGCACAAGUGGUAAGUUUGCUGCUAUCUCUCAUCCUAUGCGUAUUUGGUUUUGUGAAUUUACGGAUAUGUUUAACUGCUAAACUUAGAUAGAUUUUUUAUGUACGGUACUCAGUCUACUUGAUCGAAGACAAGGGCUAUUGCGUAUGGAAAUGGUUAAUUUUUUUACUCCAGUCUAUAUCUAUAUCUAUAUCUAUACCUACCUACUAAUAAAGCAAGGUGUGUUUCUCCAAUUUUUUCAUUCGUUCACCCAUAUUAUUAUUUGUGAUUUUUUGAGAUUUUUUACUACCUGAGGCGGGACUAAUUUUUUCAUCCGUCCACACGUAACCGCCAAAAACGAUUCACGAGCACAUCUGGGCCAUAGCCCGGUCUAAUAUUGGUCGGCUCCAGUGCAGAUCAAAAAAUACAUACGACUCUGAGAGACCCAAAAAAAAUCACUGCCAAAAGGGAUCGAACUCCCGGCCAGGAUCCAAGCUCAAAGCUUGCGAGCCACCACGUCCCCUAAUGAUUAUGUGUACACUGUUAGAUGUGUAUAAUCUCUGUCUGGUAUAUCCCCAUUGUAUAAGGGGUUGCUUGCACUUUGUCACACAUGUAUAUGUAUUGGCCUUUGGCCCUCAGUAAAGAUCAGUUGCUUACUUA
rnacentral:lncRNA from 1 species